rnacentral:Y_RNA from 1 species
GACUGGUCUGAAGGUAGUGAGUUAUCUCAGCAGAUUGUUCACAGUCAGUUACAGAUGGAACACCGCAUUCUACUCUCUCCCUGCUUCUCACUACUGCACUCGAAUCAUCUUUA